rnacentral:rRNA from 1 species
AAAUCAAGGCUGAGGCGUGAUGACGAGGCACUACGGUGCUGAAGCAACAAAUGCCCUGCUUCCAGGAAAAGCCUCUAAGCAUCAGGUAACAUCAAAUCGUACCCCAAACCGACACAGGUGGUCAGGUAGAGAAUACCAAGGCGCUUGAGAGAACUCGGGUGAAGGAACUAGGCAAAAUGGUGCCGUAACUUCGGGAGAAGG